GGGGAUUUAGCUUAGCGGCAUAAGCACCUGCCUGCCAAGCAGGAGGUCAUGAGUUCGAUCCCAAGUACCCCU
rfam:Cavia porcellus supercont2_264 genomic scaffold, whole genome shotgun sequence.